UCCGUAGGGUGCAAGCGUUGUCCGGAAUUAUUGGGCGUAAAGAGCUUGUAGGCGGUUUGUCGCGUCUGCUGUGAAAUUUCGGGGCUCAACCCCGAACUUGCAGUGGGUACGGGCAGACUAGAGUGUGGUAGGGGAGACUGGAAUUCCUGGUGUAGCGGUGAAAUGCGCAGAUAUCAGGAGGAACACCGAUGGCGAAGGCAGGUCUCUGGGCCACUACUGACGCUGAGAAGCGAAAGCAUGGGGAGCGAACAGG
rnacentral:rRNA from 1 species